CACGUAGGGGGCGAGCGUUGUCCGGAUUUAUUGGGCGUAAAGAGCUCGUAGGCGGUUCGAUAAGUCGGGUGUGAAAACUCUGGGCUCAACUCAGAGACGCCACCCGAUACUGUUGUGACUUGAGUCCGGUAGGGGAGUAUGGAAUUCCCGGUGUAGCGGUGAAAUGCGCAGAUAUCGGGAGGAACACCAGUGGCGAAGGCGGUACUCUGGGCCGGAACUGACGCUGAGGCGCGAAAGCGUGGGGAGCAAACAGG
rnacentral:rRNA from 1 species